rnacentral:rRNA from 1 species
AGUGAAUAGAUACCCUGGUAGUCCACGCCGUAAACGAUGAUGGCUGGAUGUUGGCGAUACACCGUCAGCGUCUGAGGGAAACCAUUAAGCCAUCCACCUGGGGAGUACGGCCGCAAGGCUGAAACUCAAAGGAAUUGACGGGGGCCCGGCACAAGCGGAGGAACAUGUGGUUUAAUUCGAUGAUACGCGAGGAACCUUACCUGGGCUAGAACGCACUUGGAAUGGCGCUGAAAGGUGUCAGCCCUUCGGGGCCGGGUGCGAGGUGCUGCAUGGUUGUCGUCAGCUCGUGCCGUGAGGUGUCGGGUUAAGUCCCAUAACGAGCGCAACCCCUAUCGCUAGUUGCCAGCGCGUCAAGGCGGGGUACUCUAGCGAAACUGCCAGUGUAAGCUGUGAGGAAGGCGGGGGUAUGACGUCAAAUCAGCACGGCCCUUACGUCCAGGGCUACACACGUGUUACGAA